CCUACGGGAGGCAGCAGUGAGGAAUAUUGGUCAAUGGACGAGAGUCUGAACCAGCCAAGCCGCGUGAAGGAUGACUGCCCUAUGGGUUGUAAACUUCUUUUAUAUGGGAAUAAAACGUUCCUCGUGAGGGAUUGUGUAUGUACCAUAUGAAUAAGGAUCGGCUAACUCCGUGCCAGCAGCCGCGGUAAUACGGAGGAUCCGAGCGUUAUCCGGAUUUAUUGGGUUUAAAGGGAGCGUAGGGGGAUUGUUAAGUCAGUUGUGAAAGGUUGGGGCUCAACCGUAAAAGUGCAGUUGAAACUGGCAGUCUUGAGUACAGUAGAGGUGGGCGGAAUGCGAGGUGUAGCGGUGAAAUGCGUAGAGAUCACGAAGAACUCCGAUUGCGAAGGCAGCUCACUGGACUGCAACUGACACUGAGGCUCGAAAGUGUGGGUAUCAAACAGGAUUAGAUACCCCAGUAGUC
rnacentral:rRNA from 1 species